rnacentral:snRNA from 1 species
AUUUAGGUACUUCUACGUU